rnacentral:rRNA from 1 species
GAUGAACGCUGGCGGCGUGCCUAAUACAUGCAAGUCGAGCGAACAGACGAGGAGCUUGCUCCUCUGACGUUAGCGGCGGACGGGUGAGUAACACGUGGAUAACCUACCUAUAAGACUGGGAUAACUUCGGGAAACCGGAGCUAAUACCGGAUAAUAUAUUGAACCGCAUGGUUCAAUAGUGAAAGACGGUUUUGCCGUCACUUAUAGAUGGAUCCGCGCCGCAUUAGCUAGUUGGUAAGGUAACGGCUUACCAAGGCAACGAUGCGUAGCCGACCUGAGAGGGUGAUCGGCCACACGGGAACUGAGACACGGUCCAGACUCCUACGGGAGGCAGCAGUAGGGAAUCUUCCGCAAUGGGCGAAAGCCUGACGGAGCAACGCCGCGUGAGUGAUGAAGGUCUUCGGAUCGUAAAACUCUGUUAUUAGGGAAGAACAAAUGUGUAAGUAACUAUGCACGUCUUGACGGUACCUAAUCAGAAAGCCACGGCUAACUACGG